AACGAACGCUGGCGGCAUGCCUAACACAUGCAAGUCGAACGAGACCUUCGGGUCUAGUGGCGCACGGGUGCGUAACGCGUGGGAAUCUGCCCUUGGGUUCGGAAUAACAGCGAGAAAUUGCUGCUAAUACCGGAUGAUGACGUAAGUCCAAAGAUUUAUCGCCCAAGGAUGAGCCCGCGUAGGAUUAGCUAGUUGGUGAGGUAAAGGCUCACCAAGGCGACGAUCCUUAGCUGGUCUGAGAGGAUGAUCAGCCACACUGGGACUGAGACAGGCCCAGACUCCUACGGAGGCAGCAGUGGGGAAUAUUGGACAAUGGCGAAAGCCUGAUCCAGCAAUGACCGCGU
rnacentral:rRNA from 1 species